rnacentral:rRNA from 1 species
GACGAACGCUGGCGGCGUGCCUAAUACAUGCAAGUAGAACGCUGAAGGAGGAGCUUGCUUCUCUGGAUGAGUUGCGAACGGGUGAGUAACGCGUAGGUAACCUGCCUGGUAGCGGGGGAUAACUAUUGGAAACGAUAGCUAAUACCGCAUAACAGUAGAUAUCGCAUGAUAUCUACUUGAAAGGUGCAAUUGCAUCACUACCAGAUGGACCUGCGUUGUAUUAGCUAGUUGGUGAGGUAACGGCUCACCAAGGCGACGAUACAUAGCCGACCUGAGAGGGUGAUCGGCCACACUGGGACUGAGACACGGCCCAGACUCCUACGGGAGGCAGCAGUAGGGAAUCUUCGGCAAUGGACGGAAGUCUGACCGAGCAACGCCGCGUGAGUGAAGAAGGUUUUCGGAUCGUAAAGCUCUGUUGUAAGAGAAGAACGAGUGUGAGAGUGGAAAGUUCACACUGUGACGGUAUCCUACCAGAAAGGGACGGCUAACUACGUG